GGGCGUAAAGCGAGCGUAGGUGGCUUGAUAAAGUCAGAUGUGAAAUCCCCGGGCUUAACCUGGGAACUGCAUCUGAUACUGUUAAGCUAGAGUAGGUGAGAGGGAAGUAGAAUUCCAGGUGUAGCGGUGAAAUGCGUAGAGAUCUGGAGGAAUACCGAUGGCGAAGGCAGCUUCCUGGCAUCAUACUGACACUGAGGCUCGAAAGCGUGGGUAGCAAACAGGAUUAGAUACCCUGGUAGUCCACGCCGUAAACGAUGUCUACUAGUCGUUGGGUCCCUUGAGGACUUAGUGACGCAGCUAACGCAAUAAGUAGACCGCCUGGGGAGUACGGCCGCAAGGUUAAAACUCAAAUGAAUUGACGGGGGCCCGCACAAGCGGUGGAGCAUGUGGUUUAAUUCGAUGCAACGCGAAGAACCUUACCUGGUCUUGACAUACACAGAAUCUUGUAGAGAUACGAGAGUGCCUUCGGGAAUUGUGAUACAGGUGCUGCAUGGCUGUCGUCAGCUCGUGUCGUGAGAUGUUGGGUUAAGUCCCGCAACGAGCGCAACCCUUGUCCUUAGUUACCAGCGGGUUAAGCCGGGAACUCUAAGGAUACUGCCAGUGACAAACUGGAGGAAGGCGGGGACGACGUCAAGUCAUCAUGGCCCUUACGACCAGGGCUACACACGUGCUACAAUGGUAGGUACAGAGGGCAGCUACACAGCGAUGUGAUGCGAAUCUCAAAAAGCCUAUCGUAGUCCAGAUUGGAGUCUGCAACUCGACUCCAUGAAGUAGGAAUCGCUAGUAAUCGCGGAUCAGAAUGCCGCGGUGAAUACGUUCCCGGGCCUUGUACACACCGCCCGUCACACCAUGGGAGUUGAUUGCACCAGAAGUGGUUAGCCUAACUUAGUGAGGGCGAUCACCACGGUGUGGUUGAUGACU
rnacentral:rRNA from 1 species